UACAUGGGGUGCAAACGUUGCUCGGAAUCAUUGGGCGUAAAGCGCGCGUAGGCGGUUACUUAAGUUGGAUGUGAAAGCCCUCGGCUUAACUGAGGAAGUGCACCCAAAACUGAGUAGCUUGAGUACGAAAGAGGGUCGCGGAAUUCCCGGUGUAGAGGUGAAAUUCGUAGAUAUCGGGAGGAACACCGGUGGCGAAGGCGGCGACCUGGGUCGAGACUGACGCUGAGGCGCGAAAGCGUGGGGAGCGAACAGG
rnacentral:rRNA from 1 species